AUACUGCAAGUCGAGCGGACAGAAGGGAGCUUGCUCCCGGAUGUUAGCGGCGGACGGGUGAGUAACACGUGGGUAACCUGCCUGUAAGACUGGGAUAACUCCGGGAAACCGGAGCUAAUACCGGAUAGUUCCUUGAACCGCAUGGUUCAAGGAUGAAAGACGGUUUCGGCUGUCACUUACAGAUGGACCCGCGGCGCAUUAGCUAGUUGGUGAGGUAACGGCUCACCAAGGCGACGAUGCGUAGCCGACCUGAGAGGGUGAUCGGCCACACUGGGACUGAGACACGGCCCAGACUCCUACGGGAGGCAGCAGUAGGGAAUCUUCCGCAAUGGACGAAAGUCUGACGGAGCAACGCCGCGUGAGUGAUGAAGGUUUUCGGAUCGUAAAGCUCUGUUGUUAGGGAAGAACAAGUGCAAGAGUAACUGCUUGCACCUUGACGGUACCUAACCAGAAAGCCACGGCUAACUACGUGCCAGCAGCCGCGGUAAUACGUAGGUGGCAAGCGUUGUCCGGAAUUAUUGGGCGUAAAGGGCUCGCAGGCGGUUUCUUAAGUCUGAUGUGAAAGCCCCCGGCUCAACCGGGGAGGGUCAUUGGAAACUGGGAAACUUGAGUGCAGAAGAGGAGAGUGGAAUUCCACGUGUAGCGGUGAAAUGCGUAGAGAUGUGGAGGAACACCAGUGGCGAAGGCGACUCUCUGGUCUGUAACUGACGCUGAGGAGCGAAAGCGUGGGGAGCGAACAGGAUUAGAUACCCUGGUAGUCCACGCCGUAAACGAUGAGUGCUAAGUGUUAGGGGGUUUCCGCCCCUUAGUGCUGCAGCUAACGCAUUAAGCACUCCGCCUGGGGAGUACGGUCGCAAGACUGAAACUCAGAGGAAUUGACGGGGGCCCGCCCAAGCG
rnacentral:rRNA from 1 species